UCCCUGAGAUGAGAAAAGAGCCGGAGUGGCUCGGUAUGAAGCGAUCGGAGAGACUCGGAGAGAGAUUUCUUUACAUUGGUGGUGAGAGGAACCAGAGGUCACAAUGUGUACAACAAAUCUGAAUAAUUGGCUGAAUGAUAACAACACAGCCAUUUUAUUGACGAUCAGAAUCACCAGUGAACCUGCAUGUAUCUUCUGAGGUUUAAUUUGUCGAGUGACAAAUGGCAAAAUGGUGAUAAAUCUGGGAAAAAAAAUAUAUAUGGGGACUAUUUUGCCUUACAGUCCCCUUCAUGUACGCCUCCGCCAUGAACAGAUUGAUAUAAAAACUUUAAAAAUGUUAUUAAAAUGUGUCAGACAUCAAGCAGCAUAUUCAUAACCAUUUCAUGUAAUCGCUUUAUGUAAAGGAGCUUUUAGAGGCAUUAAGCUGUUCAGACGUCUGGUUCCUGUGGUUUCUGUAGAACAGAGCACUUCACGCCAAAUCGCCGAGUGACCUUGUUUACGUUUCAACCUUUCAAUUAUGGAGAAUUCUGGAAAAUCAGUGGAGUUGCCCUUUAAGGUAGACAGUUCGCUCCCGUGUCGUUCGCUGUGUAUUUUUCGGUUUAGCGUAGCAUCUCUGAACGGAAGCGGUCCAGACUGAAGAUUAAAGCUAAAGGAAGCAUCUCUUUAAUUCACAAUGAACUGCGCUGCUUUGAAGCUUCGACGGUAAAGGACAUCGGGAGAGAGUCGCUCGAGCCAGACGACUCGCUCCGGACGCGCUCCAAUCCGCUACUCAGGGACUUUUACAGAAGGCAAGAAAUGCCCAACCCAGCGUUUUCCAGCACAAAACACAGGGAAGGAUGUUGUGCUGAAUUCUUACCAGCAGAAUCUGACUCUCCUUCAUGUCACGCACGAUGGCAGCUAAAGGUGAUCGCCGGCCCCUAGGCUACACUUUGAAUCGGUCCACCAAUCUCCUACACAUACACCAACACAAAUACUGCCCCACCAACCCACAAACAUCCAGUCAUCCCAGUGAGCCCAGUCAUCUUGCCUGUCCACUGCAAAAAAUACAAAGAGAAAGUCCUGCUGUUUCCUGGUGAAACAUGCUGAGAGUCAUGUGUGUAUUCCUGUGCACAUACACUAAAGCUUGAAAAGUACAGUAAUGCAGCUGGUAAAUCGGUACACAGCAAAUCUGUGAGCCGAAUAAAGCUUUGAGCUUGAGAGCUCUGAGCUUUGAGACCAACCAUACACUAGAUAAACACGCAAGAAGGAACAAACCUCCUACCUUUUUUCUCUAUUGUAUUUAUUGCAGGGUGAGACAGUGGCACAGUGGGUAGCAUAGUCACCUCACAUGAAGGGCCUGAAUUUGAAUCCAGGAUCCUUUCUGUUUGGAAUUUGCAAGGUCUCACCCUGUCUAUUGAGUGCUUAAGUCGCUGUGUGUAUAUGUAUUUAUUGCAGAGAGUUGUUUAUUAGGCUGGUGAAAGAAUGUUACAUUAUCAACAUCCAGGCCACAGGUCCUUCAGCCUGCACUGAUUCAUUGUUGAACUCCAGCCAGCCACUGCCUGAGGAAGACCAGGAGGAUUCUAAAGGACUCCACCCACCAUAGCAUCUGUCUGUUGUCACAGCUGCCAAGUGGGAGGAGGUAUAGAAGCAUAAAGUCCAGCACUGGGUCGGUAUGACCAACAGGUCAAAACCGCUGUGUCCUGAUUGGUGUUCUUGCUUCAUGCUUCUUUCACUUUAACAUGUUAUGUUUUAUGCACACAUAAACCAAAAGA